rnacentral:rRNA from 1 species
UCCGCCCGGGAACUACGAGCGCUAGCUUAAAAUCCAAAGGACUUGGCGGUGCUUUAGACCCCCCUAGAGGAGCCUGUUCUAGAACUGAUAACCCCCGUUAAACCUCACCACCCCUUGCUUAAUCCGCCUAUAUACCACCGUCGUCAGCUUACCCUGUGAAGGUAAAAUAGUAAGCACAAUUGGCAAAGCCAUAAACGUCAGGUCGAGGUGUAGCGAAUGGGCUGGGAAGAAAUGGGCUACAUUCUCUGCCA